rnacentral:lncRNA from 1 species
GGUCAAAAAUGAGUUUUGAUCGAAGUUCCAAUUCCCUAGAUCACAUGAAACAAAGAAAAUGAUAAGAAUUAGGAACCAAACUUGCGUGAUAUAACUGAAUAACAAAAAUAAUGUAUAACCAGUGACCAAAUAGAUUACGCAAUCCAAAAGUAAAUAAGCCUAAACAUGAGCUUAGUAAAUCAUCAUCCAAAUCAAGUGAACAUAUGCAUAUUUUAGCACAAGUGAGUCUUGAUGAACUCCAAACCAACAAUCCCAACAUAUUUCAAACUAUUUAACAAAAUUGUUAUCUUAAUCUAAGAAAAAUCAAGAGCAACUCCCACCUUAAAUUUUUUUCAAAGAACAGGAACAUGACAAUGUAAACUAAUCCAACCAAAUCUCCAUUCAUGUUCAUGAAAAAAAACUUACAACGACUCAUUAAUGGAGACCUUAGCAUUCAUAUAGAAUAAGGGAAGGAACACAUCUUUCUCAAAAAUGUCUCCUGUAACUACACACUAUUGGACACUAAAAUGCACAGAUAGAUAUUAGAAUGAAAGGCAAUUUUGAUCAAAUUAGACCAAUAUUCGCACUCGAUUUAAUUUCUUAAGGUCGUGUAGGCUCAACAAAACAAAAAUAGGGCAGCAACAUUCUUGAACUCAACUUGCAAAAAAAGUAGCCAACCUAUACUCCUCAUAUGAUCACAAAAGUUAGAUCGAGCAAAAGAAAAUACUCCCUCCCUCCCAUUUUACCCGUCCCAAAUUGGCUAAGUUGAUGUCCCAUUUUACUUAUCAAGAUAAGAUAAACUUUUCUUCCAUAUUUUACCCUUUACAUUAAUUACCUUUUCUUUAAAUUAAAAUGUAGACAUUAUUUAAUAAGAGUACUUUAAUAAACUAGCCAUAUUAUUUAUUAUUUUUUUAAUUAUUGUGCGAUCCUAAUUUGGAACAAGUAAAAUAGGAGAGGAAUGACUUUAUCCGGACCAAUUUUCAGAAAAAGCGGUAGUAUAUACACACAUAUACAUAUAUGUUUAGUGAGCCCAUAUAUUCAAACAAGAAACAACUUUUUCAAAAAUUAACUUUCACUCACAGAGUUGAAGGAAAACAAACAACGAUAUGAGUAUUAAAAUAAAAAUAGAAUCACAUAGUCAUGAAAUCGGAACAAUAACAAAAUCAGACAGGACAGAUUCGCACUUGUGAUGCAAAACAGCCUCGCUUGAAACAAAUGAAUAAUUUACAGAUUAAAAGAGACAGAACUAUAUUUUGAAAUUGAUUUUCAGAUAACAAACAACAAUACCAUGAUCAAACGUACAUCAUACACCUGCAAAUUCAUUUUUCGACACCAACGACAACUUAAACUAUAUGGAGAUUCAUAUACAAGAAUUCGUUUUUCAAUAACAUCAACAUAAAAAAAAAUUAACAGAUUUAAACUAAAAUAACGUGAUCAAUGAACCAAACAAGAUGAGAGAAAAUGAUAUGGAAGUGAGACGAGAAAGGGAUUCGCACCUUUUUCGGGACAGAAAAACUAGAUUUUAAUGAAAAGGAUUUUCUGACAAUUCGAACUUGGACCAGAAUCAUAAACAAACUAGCGACUUCGAGACUUUCCAGUGAACCUCCCACUUGUUUUCUCUCUAAUUUCUAACCGUUUACACUAUUUUUUUCACUCCCCGACUUCA